rnacentral:rRNA from 1 species
GGAUGCGAUCAUACCAGCACUAAAGCACCGGAUCCCAUCAAAACUCCAAAGUUAAGCGUGCUUGGGCGAGAGUAGUACUAGGAUGGGUGACCUCCUGGGAAGUCCUCGUGUUGCAUUCC